GACGAACCGUGCGAACGUUAUUCGGAAUCACUGGGCUUAAAGGGCGCGUAGGCGGGCUCCCAAGUCUGCGGUGAAAGCCUCCAGCUUAACUGGAGAAGUGCCGUGGAUACUGGGAGUCUCGAGGAGGGUAGGGGCAUCUGGAACGUUGGGUGGAGCGGUGAAAUGCGUUGAUAUCCAACGGAACUCCGGUGGCGAAGGCGAGGUGCUGGACCCUUUCUGACGCUGAGGCGCGAAAGCUAGGGGAGCAAACA
rnacentral:rRNA from 1 species